ACAGAGAAAUUGUUCAUGAAAGGAGGAGUCAAUCAAUGCAGCAAACUUCACCACUGUCUUAUUUUCAGAAAUUGCCAUGGCUACUCCCACCUUUAGCUACGACCACCCCGGUCAGUCAGCAGCCAUCAACAUUGAGGUCUUGAUUCUAGAGUUCAUCACUUCGAAUAAUUGUCUCCCUCACCAGAUUUGGAGCUCCUGUUGAGGAAAAACACUUUGAAUAAAUCAAUAUCUGGAACAAAAGCAAGAAGGACCUCACCAGAUGCUGCCCCUCAAUCUUGGAUUUCCUGGCCUCCAGAACUGUUGAACCACAACUGAUACCUUCCUUAUACCCAGGCAAGAUGAUCCUGCUCUGGGUUUUGGAAGCCCCAACAUAUCACAAAUAACUGUGCACUUUGGUCUCUUGGAAUCUGAUGCUGAGUAUUUGACAAUACAACCUGCCACCCCAAACAAAUUCUGUUCUCAUGAUCUGUUCAGGACCCAGGAAAUGGAUUCUCUAUAUUUUUUUCCCUUUGUUGUGAACAAUGAUUGAUGGUUCAAAUGCUGUGAAGGUCUGUGUUUCCUUCUACUUCUGAGAUUGAAGGUGACACUGCAUCUGAAUGAAGGAAGGAGUGAGGCAGUGGCACCCAGGUUAGGGAGAACACAAUUUUCACUAACUUUUCAAAUCCUUCUUUCUUGGCAUGAGUGCAAUAGAUUAUGCAUUUAUAAUCUAUUGAUUACGACUAAUGAAAAGUCAUUUUCAUAGCCCUGAGGGUCCAUUUACUUGCCUCAUUUUGUGUCCUAAAAGGUGGUUCCACAAGUGCUUAUAAGUUUUUGUGUAUUCACAACAGUUACACAUGGUGGCUGAGGAAUAUUUUAUGCCAUUAAACAAUGCAUAUUUCUGUUGAAUUUGUAUGUAUUAUGUCUUGACUUGAAAUGCACAAAACAAAACUCUAAUUAUUUACAUUGGCAAUUAAUUGACACUAUAUUAGCUAAAAUUGGUUUUAGCUAAUAAAACUAAUAAAAUUAAUUUUACUUUUAGAAAAGUGUUGAAUAAGGUUUAAGAUUUUCAAAAAGUUACUCAACAUCACCCACCCUCAGAUAAUUGCCAAUCAAAACCACAAUAAGAGAUCACCUCACACCUCUCAGCAUGGCCAUGAUCAAACAAGACAAAACAACAGAUAACAAGUGUUGAAGAGGAUGUGGAGAAAUUGGAACGCUUG
rnacentral:lncRNA from 1 species